UAGGGAAUCUUCGGCAAUGGACGGAAGUCUGACCGAGCAACGCCGCGUGAGUGAAGAAGGUUUUCGGAUCGUAAAGCUCUGUUGUUAGAGAAGAACGUUGGUAGGAGUGGAAAAUCUACCAAGUGACGGUAACUAACCAGAAAGGGACGGCUAACUACGUGCCAGCAGCCGCGGUAAUACGUAGGUCCCGAGCGUUGUCCGGAUUUAUUGGGCGUAAAGCGAGCGCAGGCGGUUCUUUAAGUCUGAAGUUAAAGGCAGUGGCUUAACCAUUGUACGCUUUGGAAACUGGAGGACUUGAGUGCAGAAGGGGAGAGUGGAAUUCCAUGUGUAGCGGUGAAAUGCGUAGAUAUAUGGAGGAACACCGGUGGCGAAAGCGGCUCUCUGGUCUGUAACUGACGCUGAGGCUCGAAAGCGUGGGGAGCGAACAGGAUUAGAUACCCUGGUAGUCCACGCCGUAAACGAUGAGUGCUAGGUGUUGGAUCCUUUCCGGGAUUCAGUGCCGCAGCUAACGCAUUAAGCACUCCGCCUGGGGAGUACGACCGCAAGGUUG
rnacentral:rRNA from 1 species